rnacentral:snoRNA from 1 species
GCAUGGUAAUGGAUUUAUGGCAGACACUUCUAUCAUAGUGUACCCAUGCCAGAGUGAACUGUAGACUCAAACCAUUGCCCAGCUUUCUUGCCUCUGUGCUGUGAGCACCGAAGAAGGUUACACAAUU